UACGGAGGGGGCGAGCGUUGUCCGCAGUUACUGGGCGUAAAGCGCGCGUAGGCGGGUUGGCAAGUCCGCUGUGAAAGCCCGAGGCUUAACCUCGGCGGGUCGGUGGAUACUGCCAGUCUUGAAGGUGCUAGGGGGAAAUGGAAUUACCGGUGUAGCGGUGAAAUGCGUAGAUAUCGGUAGGAACACCAGUGGCGAAGGCGGUUUCCUGGGGCAUUCUUGACGCUGAGGCGCGAAAGCUGGGGGAGCGAACGGG
rnacentral:rRNA from 1 species